GACAGAGGGUGCAAACGUUGUUCGGAAUUACUGGGCGUAAAGCGCGUGUAGGCGGCUUGGAAAGUCGGGUGUGAAAGCCCUGGGCUCAACCUAGGAAGUGCACUCGAAACUGCCGAGCUUGAGUUCUGGAGAGGAAGGCGGAAUUCUCGGUGUAGAGGUGAAAUUCGUAGAUAUCGAGAGGAACACCGGUGGCGAAGGCGGCCUACUGGACAGCAACUGGACGCUGAGACGCGAAAGCGUGGGGAG
rnacentral:rRNA from 1 species